rnacentral:rRNA from 1 species
GAUGAACGCUGGCGGCGUGCUUAACACAUGCAAGUCGAACGGAAAGGCCCAAGCUUGCUUGGGUACUCGAGUGGCGAACGGGUGAGUAACACGUGGGUGAUCUGCCCUGCACUUCGGGAUAAGCUUGGGAAACUGGGUCUAAUCCCGGAUAGGACCACUUCUUGGAUGUUGUGGUGGAAAGUUUUUUCGGUGUGGGAUGAGCUCGCGGCCUAUCAGCUUGUUGGUGGGGUAAUGGCCUACCAAGGCGUCGACGGGGAGCCGGCGUGAGAGGGUGUACGGCAACAGUGAGACUGAGACACAGCCCAGACUCCUACGGGAGGCAGCAGUAGGGAAGAUUGAAAAAUGGGCGCAAGCCUGAUGCAGCGACGGCGCGUGGGGGAGGACGGCCUUCGGGUUAUGAUCGCCUUUCGCUAUGGACGAAGCGUUUUGUGACGGUACCUGGAGAAGAAGCACCGGCUAACUACGUG